AUGCUCAUCAUGUGGCAAAAUCUAUUCUUUCGAGAAGUGGUCAGACUUCACGGAGUACCAAGGUCCAUCGUGUUAGACUGUGGUAGCAAGUUUCUUGCUGCAUUUUGGCUCACUUUGUGGAAGCAAUUCAACACUAAAUUGAAAUUUUCUAGCACUGCUCAUCCACAAACAGAUGGACAAACGAAAGUGGUUAACAAGUUUUUGGGUAAUCUGAUCCGUUGCAUUUGUGGAGAAAGAAAGGGACAAUGGGAUUUAGCUCUAUCUCUUGCAGAGUUCUACAAUGAUUCCAAGCAUAGAUCCACGGGAAGGAGCGUUUUUCCAUUGUCUACACUAAAGUUCCAACACAUGUGGUGGAUCUGGUGA
rnacentral:rRNA from 1 species